rnacentral:rRNA from 1 species
UGGGGAAUAUUGCACAAUGGGCGGAAGCCUGAUGCAGCGACGCCGCGUGAGGGAUGACGGCCUUCGGGUUGUAAACCUCUUUCAGCACCGACGAAGGCUUCUCUUUUGGGGGGUUGACGGUAGGUGCAGAAGAAGCGCCGGCCAACUACGUGCCAGCAGCCGCGGUAAGACGUAGGGCGCGAGCGUUGUCCGGAUUUAUUGGGCGUAAAGAGCUCGUAGGCGGCUUGUCGCGUCGACUGUGAAAUCCCGUGGCUCAACUGCGGGCUUGCAGCCGAUACGGGCAGGCUGGAGUUCGGUAGGGGAGACUGGAAUUCCUGGUGUAGCGGUGAAAUGCGCAGAUAUCAGGAGGAACACCGGUGGCGAAGGCGGGUCUCUGGGCCGAUACUGACGCUGAGGAGCGAAAGCGUGGGGAGCGAACAGG